GCUAAAAGAGAUUAAUUAAACUUAAGGGACUGGAACUGUAAUUAUAAGAUAAUUGCAUUUGGGCUAUGGAUCACCUUGGAAUAAUAGGUUGGACGAAUUCUAUGGGGAAACCCAUUAGAAAUCGUCCAAGGGAUAUUCUAAAAGAGUCCAUGGGCUGCUUAGGGCUUAAGCAGUCAGAUUAGGGUUUCCUAGUCCAAAAACCCUAAUAGCCUACAUGUAUAUAUAGCACCCUUAAGCCCCAAAAACGUGGCUAGGAGUUCCACUAGGGUUUUUGGACGUUUUGGGCAGCCUCCUCUCUCCUUAUUCUUCAUCCUCUUGCUCUUGGUGUUUGUGAGCCAUUAGAGGAGUGACACUUGUGACUCUAAGCUUUCUAAAGUCAUUACAAGGAGGAUUUGAAAUUGUUGUUGCUACAUAACAAUCAAGGUAAGACCUAAACCCCAUUCAUAUGUUAAUAUGAUUAAUUGUAUGCUAGAACUAGGGUUUAAAGUCUUGGAUGAAUUGCAUGUACAAUAGAGAAACCUAGAUCCAAGCAUUAGGGUUUGCAUGAGCACAUAAGAUGUUCUUAUGGCCAAAACUCAUCAGUGGUAUCAGAGCCUUGAUUGGUUUCUGUUGUAUUGAUGCCUAGUACAUUCAUUCUUGUUGUAAAAUCGAUUUUUUGGCCCCCUGACUGAUGAACUUGGCGAGUAUCAAUGUGGACUCGGCAAGUAGCUCCAACUCGGCGAGUUUGAGCGUCAGUUAGAGCAGAUUUCAUGAUUUUUGCCUGUUUUGACUUAGGAUAAUUGCCAUAAUUGUUUAAAAUUAAUAAAAUACAAAUUUUAUUGAUUCCUUAUGAUUAUCUUUGUCAAAAUAAAAGAUUUUGGUCAUUUAAUUAGAUAAUUGUUACCUUGUUUGAUAAAUGUUAAAUUAUUUUAAUUAUUUGAUCAUUAUCUUGCAAGAAUUUGAACUAUGUUUAAUUAGAUAACCACCAAUUAAUUGUUAAUUGCCUUAUUUGAAUUAUGUGAUCUAGAAUAUUCUUGAUACAGUUUGGAAAAGUUUCAAAUUAAUCCCUUUAGGUUCUAUAGUUUAAAUUUGAACUUAAAAGUUUUGUUUUUGAAAUUUAAAUAAGUUAAACCCUAAUGUUUUGAAAUGUUUCAAAACUUGCCCUCAAGUUUUGGAAUUUAAAAGUUGAUUAAAAGUUUAAUUUAGAAAUGUUAAAUUCUAAAACCCUAGUAUUGUUUUGAAAAGUUCAAAUCACACCCUUAUGGUUUUAUUAAUUAAUUAAAGUGUAUAAUUAUAAGAGAUUUAAUAAAUCCAUAAAGUUUUGGUUUACAAUUUAAUUAAAUUAAAAGUAUAAUUAUUAAAUUUGACCACCUAGUAUUUUAAAAAUGUAAAAUACACCCUAUACUAUAUAUAACAUUAAAAGUCUAAUAUUAUAUAUAUGUAUGAGUAAAAGUCGGUCUUACCGUUAGUAGGCCUCAUUCACGAAGCUGGUCUAUAAGGGGUGUUUAAGGAAAUUGCCUGUAAAAUGGCGAUUGAAUGGGUAUCCACUCUUACCCACCGCACUCUUGACUAAUGGAGGGUCGUUAGCCGAACGGGUAGGAUAGGACAAAAACCUUCCAUUAUAAGUAUAAUGAAGUACAAAAGUAACUAAAUGUUUUCACAAAAUUCCCAAUCUUAGUUACUUUAGGCAAAAGUGAAUUGAUGCAAUUCCAUGAAAUUACACUUUGUGCCCUUGCGAAGACGUUAGUGGAGCGUGUGUGGUUUACCGGCACACUAAAUGGUUCUAAGCAAAGGUAGCAAAGGGUGACUCAAUGUUUGUCAUAGUUCGGUGGAGCGUGUGUGGUUAACCGGCACAUCGAAUAGGUGACUGUAACAUGUGGGGGCACCAUGUAAGUUUGCAUGGUUAUUCACACCCUGUUUUGUGAUCCUCGGCAUCCCAGUCACAAAUCGAGGGGCAUAUCGAGAUUUAAACAUGCCAUUGAAAAGUUCAAUGAAUCUCAAAGGAUCUAGGAGUUUUCAAAACAUUUAAAACUUAAUCUGUUUUUCGUUUUCAUGGUGGAAAAUUAGUGAAUCGUCAUUCACUUACCUUCAAAUGUUCUGCAAUUUGGGUUAUGGCGUCCCUCUUCCAAGUUGUGGAAUAUUGUGUUGGGUCCUAGCCUUAGUAUCUCAUUUGAGUGAUUUAUUAAGGACUCAAUCAAUCAACUAACUUGAAUUUAUUUUCUCCCGUUUUGUAGAUGUCAAAGUAUGACAACUAUGGUCUUCCCAAAUCCCGUGGAACAAGCUUUCCACAUGAAGAUGAUAUUCCACGAUUCGAUCGAGGAACAAGAGAUCAUGCUUCACUUCCUCCACCUCCUCCAAUUAUUCUCCCUAACCCACAAGUUCGAAGGCUUGAAAAGUUCAAGCUCACUCAAGCCCUUUUGGCAAGUAAACAUGAAGAAGGAAAGUCAAUGUGUGCACACGUCCUAGAGAUGAAGUCACACAUUGAUAGGUUAAGAAUGUUGGAAUCUGUUGUCUGUGAGGAGCUGCCUAUUGACUGGGUUCUUCAGUCGCUUCCUAACUCAUAUAGUGAGUUCGUAAGAGAGUACUAUAUAAUGAACCAUGACGUGACCCUUAUAGAUCUCACCUACAUGCUUAUUGCUGUUGAAUCAACAAUGAUUUGGCGUACUAGAAAAAGCAAAGUUGAUUGGUGGAUAUUCCUUCCAGACCUCUAUGGAUAUAGAUAACGGUAACGAAAGGCAUGCCAUGGUCAAAAAGUUUGAUCAUAAGAGAAAGGCAAAAGUCUGAAGUAGUUUCGUGUGUUGUUCCAAAAGAGUCAAUUUGCUUUUAUUGCCAAGAGAAGGGGCAUUGGAGACGAAGCUGUCCUAUUUACCUAAGAGAUCUAAGAGAUGGGAGAGUCAAAACGUAUGGCUCCACUUUAGGUAAAAUCCAUUAACUAACUCUUUUAAGUUCCUAUUCUAGAUUCUUAAUACAUGAUGUGAUAAGAUUACAUUUUGAUGUUUUGUAGGAUCGAAGAAAAGAGAGGAAGCUUAAGGGAAGAAGUGAGCGGAAUCUAAUCGUGAAGAAAUGGAUUUCGAUCGCAUUACUUGAAGAUUAGAUUCUUGAGCUACUACUUGGAGUUAGAAUAAGAUUGCUAAGAAAUAUGUAUUAGCAUAGUUUUUCAAUGAAUUGCAUUGUAAGGACAAAUUUUUCCGCAAUAAAAUAAAUUUUGAUUUUAUAUUAUUUAUUUAUCCUUGCAAUGGCGUGUAUGAAAAAUUGAUGUUUGAAUGUUUCUAUUAUUAGCAAUAAUGGAUUUGAUUCUUAAUUAUGUUAUUUGUGGAAAUGUCGAGAAUUUACCAAAUAGGGAGAGUUUCUCAUCGCCCAAGUUUCAAUUGGACAGAAACUUGGAAUCAUGCAACUUGGUUGCAUGAUGAAUGAGAAAUUUCAUAUUUGGAAAUUAGACUAAUUUAUUGACAAAGUGUCAAGUGAAGGACUAGGAGAUCGAGUACACAAAGUUGCGUGUUGAUCAAGUCCACCAUAAGAGUAACAAAGAUAUUCGUCAUGAUUUACUAAAGGUUUAGUAAAUAUGAUUAUACUUAUAAGAUUAAGUGUAAUUCUGAAUUGAUUGAAAAAGUUUAAAUCAAUAGCAGAACGAAUAAGAAGAAUCAAGUAGGCAGAAAGAUAAAAGUUUCUCCAUUCUAAGAAGAAGGGAGAGUACCUUUUAUGCUUUAUGAUAGGUCUUAAUGAUUAAGAACCAUAUCUCAAUUGAUCCUCUAAGUGAGUCUUAGUACAAUUGUAUGUCUAAGAAGAGGAAUCAAGAAUUGAAGAAAUGGUUAAAUCAAGAAGUCAAUCAUACUUCGUUCCAAAACAAGUCUUAGAGUUAAGAUUGUGACAUUGAGUGAUAAGUAUUAAGAAGGUUUAUAACAUUCAUCAAAUGUGGAAAGUUGUGAUGUCUUGGAUAAGACAAAGACCAACUAGGACCAAUUUUGUGAAGUGUUUUGUCUUGAUAAAAGCUACACUAACUCUUGAAUAUUUGUUUGUCGAGAAAUGUUUAUUGACAAGAGAAUCUUAUGUGUCAAGGAGUCAGUGGGAGUCUUAAUGGUCUUGAAAAGUUCAAGAACUAAUCAAGAAUAAACCUUAUCGAUCAUCACUAGAACAUGACUUGAGGUUCACAACCUAUCGUGUUGACACUAUCUUGUUUCUGUGCCAUUCCAAUUAAGUUAAUUAUGCAUGUGAGUUCCAUGAGUUCUCAUUUGAACGCAUAAAAGGCAAGCACCUUGAUCAAUGGAAAGUACAUUGAUAGGAAAGGGUGAGUUGCUUAACUACUUGGAAAGACAUGGUGGGCACUCGUGUUACCAUAAGGUAAGAAAUCAAAGUUCGGUCCAUAUGAGUUUGGCUUUGUCGCAAACUUUGGUUUUGACAAAUUCGCAUGGAUAGGAACACAUACACCAUUAAAAUCUAAGUGUCAUAAGAUUCCCUCCUUCAUGAAAAUGACUGUGAGGAAAUACUUUCACUAAGAAAGGUUUUAAGAAGAUAGUGAUUAUGAAAAUUGUAUUCUUGAAUUCAAUUAUGGUCACGGUAUCCCUUUCCAUGAUUCGAAUUGUGAGAUUUGGCAAUUAGUCUGACUUGUUUAGACACACAUAUGAGCUAUUUAAGCCAAAGGUGUAUAAGUUUAAGAAGCUUAGAUAAAAGAUUAUCAAAGCAUUAAGUAUUAGAAAUUUGAACUUAAGCAAUUCAAUAUGUAUUUUCUGAAUACAUGUCAAAGCUAGUGGGAGCAUAAGUGUUAUGCUUAUAUGAUAAUAAUCAUCAUGAUAGUGGGAGCAUAAAUGUUGUGCUUGUAUGAUUAUUAAGGCAAGUAUUGCAAGUUAGCAAUAUUAAUUAUAGAAAACAAGAGUUAUACUUUGCAAAGUCGAAAGGGUUGAAAAGUUGUUUUGCUAUAAUUAAGGGAGAGAAUAUUAUGCUUCAUUUCAAAUCUAAAGGCUUAGGUUGUGGAAUGUUAAUAAAUUUAGUCAAGGAUACAUAAUGCAUUCUCAAAAUUUCAAUUAUGAUUAUGGAAUCCAUCUUCAUAGUUCGAAUUGUGAGAACGUGACACAUAAAAUAUUAUGGCAAAAGAUUGAUAAAGUAUCAGAUCUUUAUGUAAGACAUUAUGCAUUGUGUCCCAUACACUUCGGGUAAAGGAUCGAUUGCAAAUGCUAUAAUAUUUGACCAUUCUAAAAUUUUCCAAAUGUCUAGCGCAUUUAGAGGGAAAAAGGACAAGAAUCGGUUUUGACUAAGAUAAUUAAACAACUAUCAAAGGACGAUCCAAAGCUCGCUGAGGAUUGGUCGCUUGUGAGUAGUUUGAAGUAUGGUAUUGGAUGGACCAUAUCGACAUUAUUAUGAAUAGAUAAGAUUCUAUUAAGAAUGAGUUGUCAUAUGGCAAAUAUGGAAAUGUUUCCAUAUUGGGAGUUGGAUAUUGAGAAUCUAUGUCUAGAUUAGAAACUUUUAUGCAAGAAGGAUGUUCAAAGGAAUGUACUUUGAGUGAGAGACAUCAUAUCUAUAGAAUUGUUUCUGAUAGAGAUUGGCCAAGUCUUGAUGAUUUUGAGCUAUGACUUUACGAAAGAAUCAUUGCAUAAAAUGUUAGAAUCUAGCAUAAGUAACAAGAAUUUGAUAUUCUUAUACUUAUGAUAAGGAUUGGGAGUUGUGAAAUGAGUAUGAUUGGAAAUGUGUUCAUUUGAUCUAUUUCACAAAGUAAGGACCAUAGGUAAACAUUGUGUGCAUGCUGAGAGCAUGGGACAAGUGUAGUAAUAAUUCAAGUAAGAAGUUGAUUACCCGAAACAACAAAUAAUGAGUAAUCAAUAUGGUGAUUAAAUAAAAUGUUUUAUUUAUACCCAGAGUUUGGGGCCAUAUGGGAUUAGUAUUAUUCUUGUGUUUCACUUUGCAUGUUUUGACUUCCUGAAUAAUUAAAUUGGUUCAGAACAAUCAAAUUAUUCGAACGGACCACAGUCGUUCAUAUGUUGGAAGUAGGUAUGAAUGAAGACUGUCGUGAAUUGGUGUGUGGAUUGUCUAAAGUGUAUUAGACAUAAGCAAAUGUUUGCUGCAACGUUCAUGAGUGCUUAUGAAUAUGAUUUGAGCAUUGGAUUAAACCCACGCUCACUUGGAUCACUUCAUGGAUUUUAUCACGAGUGAUUGGUGAGACGAUAAUAUCUUAUAUUCUUGAAACCGAGAUGUGUGAGUUGUAUCUUGCGAGUCGGUUACACAUUGAUAAUAUGUAAACGCACCAGUAACUUGGUGUCAUAAAACAUAUUGUUGUGUGUGAUUCGGUGAGUGAGUGCAAGCAAGCAUUGAAUCAAAGUUUAUCCGUUCCUUUUAUCCAAAGUAGGAUGAAAGCGAUAUCUUUGGGCCCCUCGAUGAUUUAGUGAUGACACAAAGUGCUUGGCCAAGCAGGGACUAAUUUGAUGUGUUCAAUUGUAGUCUGUUGUCAGUCGUCAUAAAUCGGAAAUCGGGAAACAACACAUAGACAGAGAGAAUGAUUUAAAUCCAUGUCUCAGUCUAUACGAUAUCUAGAAUGGAGGAAUAUAUGAUCCCUUAUCUAAAGGACGUGUAUCUGAUAAGAUCAGAGUUGACAGCGGCUUUUGAAAGCUACGAUUGCAGAUCAGGAUCUGAAGUCAUACGCAUAAUAGUUAUUAGACUUAUCCAAGUGGGAGACUGUUGGAUUAGUGUCUAAGUCCAUAACUAUUUUGGUAUGUACUUGACCCGAUGGUGCAUGGUCCUUUUGGGUUGCCUUCACCAAAGCAACUUGAUAGGAUGAAUUAUGAAGAGAGAGGAUUAAUUAUGAUUUAUUAAUAUAUUAUGAGAAUAAUAUAUUAAAGGAGAAAUCAUAUUGUUUAAUUAAUAUUAGUCAAGAAUUAAUUGAUAAUUAAUUUUGCGACUAAAAGAGAUUAAUUAAACUUAAGGGACUGGAACUGUAAUUAUAAGAUAAUUGCAUUUGGGCUAUGGAUCACCUUGGAAUAAUAGGUUGGACGAAUUAUAUGGGGAAACCCAUUAGAAAUCAUCCAAGGGAUAUUCUAAAAGAGUCCAUGAGCUGCUUAGGGCUUAAGCAGUCAGAUUAGGGUUUCCUCGUCCAAAAACCCUAAUAGCCUACAUGUAUAUAUAGCACCCUUAAGCCCCAAAAACGUGGCUAGGAGUUCCACUAGGGUUUUUGGACGUUUUGGGCGGCCUCCUCUCUCCUUAUUCUUCAUCCUCUUGCUCUUGGUGUUUGUGAGCCAU
rnacentral:lncRNA from 1 species